ACUGCUCAGUAACACGUGGCUAAUCUGCCCUUGGGACUAGAACAACCCCGGGAAACUGGGGAUAAUUCCGGAUAACGCACAUAUGCUGGAAUGCUUUAUGCGUCAAAUGGAUUCGUCUGCCCAAGGAUGGGUCUGCGGCCUAUCAGGUAGUAGUGGGUGUAAUGUACCUACUAGCCGACGACGGGUACGGGUUGUGAGAGCAAGAGCCCGGAGAUGGAUUCUGAGACAUGAAUCCAGGCCCUACGGGGCGCAGCAGGCGCGAAAACUUUACAAUGCGGGAAACCGUGAUAAGGGGACACCGAGUGCCAGCAUCAUAUGCUGGCUGUCCGGGUGUGUAAAAUACACCUGUUAGCAAGGGCCGGGCAAGACCGGUGCCAGCCGCCGCGGUAACACCGGCGGCCCGAGUGGUGAUCGUGAUUAUUGGGUCUAAAGGGUCCGUAGCCGGUUUGGUCAGUCCUCCGGGAAAUCUGACGGCUUAACCGUUAGGCUUUCGGAGGAUACUGCCAGGCUUGGAACCGGGAGAGGUAAGAGGUACUACAGGGGUAGGAGUGAAAUCUUGUAAUCCCUGUGGGACCACCUGUGGCGAAGGCGUCUUACCAGAACGGGUUCGACGGUGAGGGACGAAAGCUGGGGGCACGAACCGGAUUAGAUACCCGGGUAGUCCCAGCCGUAAACGAUGCUCGCUAGGUGUCAGGCAUGGCGCGACCGUGUCUGGUGCCGUAGGGAAGCCGUGAAGCGAGCCACCUGGGAAGUACGGCCGCAAGGCUGAAACUUAAAGGAAUUGGCGGGGGAGCA
rnacentral:rRNA from 1 species